UCAAUCAUUUUCGUCCACGUAUCCUCCC
rnacentral:sRNA from 1 species